rnacentral:pre_miRNA from 1 species
AAUAUACUCCCUCCGUUUCGAAUUACUUGUUGCAGGUAUGGAUGUAUCUAGAUGUAUUUUAGUUCUAGAUACAUCCAUUUCUGCGACGAGUAAUUUGGAACGGAGGGAGUAUUUG